rnacentral:miRNA from 8 species
AGGUCGUGACAAGCGGCAAUCC